rnacentral:rRNA from 1 species
AGAGUUUGAUCCUGGCUCAGGACGAACGCUGGCGGCGUGCCUAAUACAUGCAAGUCGAACGCACUCUCGUUUAGAUUGAAGGAGCUUGCUCCUGAUUGAUAAACAUUUGAGUGAGUGGCGGACGGGUGAGUAACACGUGGGUAACCUGCCCUAAAGUGGGGGAUAACAUUUGGAAACAGAUGCUAAUACCGCAUAAAACCUAACACCGCAUGGUGUAGGGUUGAAAGAUGGUUUCGGCUAUCACUUUAGGAUGGACCCGCGGUGCAUUAGUUAGUUGGUGAGGUAAAGGCUCACCAAGACCGUGAUGCAUAGCCGACCUGAGAGGGUAAUCGGCCACACUGGGACUGAGACACGGCCCAGACUCCUACGGGAGGCAGCAGUAGGGAAUCUUCCACAAUGGACGAAAGUCUGAUGGAGCAACGCCGCGUGAGUGAAGAAGGUUUUCGGAUCGUAAAACUCUGUUGUUGGAGAAGAAUGUAUCUGAUAGUAACUGAUCAGGUAGUGACGGUAUCCAACCAGAAAGCCACGGCUAACUACGUGCCAGCAGCCGCGGUAAUACGUAGGUGGCAAGCGUUGUCCGGAUUUAUUGGGCGUAAAGCGAGCGCAGGCGGUUUCUUAAGUCUGAUGUGAAAGCCUUCGGCUCAACCGAAGAAGUGCAUCGGAAACUGGGAAACUUGAGUGCAGAAGAGGACAGUGGAACUCCAUGUGUAGCGGUGAAAUGCGUAGAUAUAUGGAAGAACACCAGUGGCGAAGGCGGCUGUCUGGUCUGUAACUGACGCUGAGGCUCGAAAGCAUGGGUAGCAAACAGGAUUAGAUACCCUGGUAGUCCAUGCCGUAAACGAUGAGUGAUAGGUGUUGGAAGGUUUCCGCCUUCCA